rnacentral:lncRNA from 1 species
GUUUCACCGGAACGUCUGACGACCGGGACCCGUGCCUCUCCGAAGGGCAGCGAGGAGAGCGAGACUCACCGCAGCAACAGAGCACCUGCUGUUUUGGUGUUUCAUCUGCUCGGGGGAAACGGCGACUCAACCCGGGGGGAGGGGAAUCGACGAGAGCCCCAGGAAGUGAGGCCCCAGUCCAGAGCCACUCGGAAAGUUCUGUGGUUUCACCCCAGGAGCAAACAGCCCCCGCGCUUCGCUCAUACGGGUCGAACCUGCGUCCCGCUGUUGUCGACCCGCUGGACUCGAACCCUCGAUGACGGGUCACGCGCACCAAAAACAAGACACGGAUGGACUGGGAAGACCCUGGAAACGCGAAAAGGAAACAAUGAAGAGCAAGAACAGCAAUGAAAAUGUUCAGCUAAGGUUACAGGUUUGAACCUCAUCACCAGCUGCAGUACCCUUAAACAGCCUCCUAACCCUUUGGAGAAAAGCACCAGCUAAAGGUCAACAUAUGAGCACUACAGGUACAUUGUUUAGGGUAAGUACCUUCAUCAAGAGUACUAGAGCUGACGGUGAGAUUUGAACCUGUGACCUUUCUGGUCCAAAGGCAGCAGCUAUAACCCCUACCGGCUGCUCCCACUUUCUCAAAAUCAACUUGCAGCGUGAGGUGUGUAUACUGUGCUACCUAAAGUGAUUUACCCAUUCAGACACCAGGGUAAUUUUUACUGCAUCAGUUCAGGCUGAGUACCUUGGUCAAGGGUACUACUGCAAGAAGUGGGAUUCAAACCCAGGUUCUCUGAGUACAAAGUGGACACUUGAACCACUUUGCCACCUGCUGCCCAAC